GUUCCCAUUGAAAAUAAAAAAUAAAAAAUAAACAACAAAAAAAAUGACUGAAGUGCCAAGGAUACAAAUUUGAAAACCUAAUGCUGAUCCUGAAUUUCACCAAUAUCAGAAUUGAAAGAACCUUUGAAGCAUUCUUGAAUUUUGGAUUUAUUUGGGCUCAGAUGUUAUAGGUGGCAUUGAUCAGCUGUGCUGCAUCAUUGCAGUAUCGUUUGCUUUACUAUCUCACACAAAACCUUUCCUUAAGUUUUUCCCACCUUUAUUAUCAAUUUCUUAGUUUCUGUGUAGUUGGGAAGAUGCUGUCAAAUUUUCUCUGGUAUCAACUUUGAUUCAUUAUUUUCUGUUUUGGUUGCAGGUUGUAUGCAGAGAUUACCCUCACUCACGGGACCAAUGUGCUAAAUUUCCUUUUAAUUCUACCACACAUGAUAGGCACUGUGACCAGUGCCAUUGUUAUGUCUGCGAUUCGCUUGCCCCUUGUGGCCAUUGGGGGACUGGUAUGAACAUUGUUGACCAUUGUCAUGCCACUAAUAAAGAUCAGUUUUGGGUAAAUCAGAUGAAAAGUUUCAGGCUAGGGAAAAGUCAGCAAGUACCUAUUCAAAAACACGCCACAGCAUUGCCCCAAGUUAGCCAAAAUUCAUCAUUUGAACGUUGGUUUUGGAUGAUCAUGAAAAUCUGCGAUUUCUGGUGCUUUGAAGCAUCUGGGUUUCUUACUUUCAAGGAAUCCCGAUUGAAUUAUGAUAACUGACCUUGGUUUUUUUGUUUUUUUUUUUAUAUUACGUGGUGCCUUUGAUCAGUAGUUCGUGCACUUUUUGAAGAGAGCCAUUACUUUUUGUACAUGAUAAUUGGACUUUUCUUCCAUCAAUCAGGUACAGCGAGUGGGAUGUACAAAGCUUCAGUGUGUCUUUUGGUAUUGAAUUGGGUGGUUUAAGUCUGUAAUCAUCAAGCCCUGCUUUGGAUCCAUUACCCUGGUUUUACAAACGGUACAAGGAUCUGGCCUUUUCCAAGGUUUGAAUAGUUUGUGGUGGUGUUCUUGACUGGUAUCAUGGCUAGCUUGUCGCAUCCUAUUUCUAGACGCAAGUAUUCUUGGUGGUGGGACAGCCACAUAAGUCCCAAAAAUUCCAAAUGGCUUCAGGAAAAUCUUA